CUCCUUCGACUGUUUUGUUUACUAAUUUCUUUCUUCUAAAAGUGAGGUUAUACAUGUAAGCAUGCUUAUCAUGCCACCAAGCAGUUAUAUUUUGGUAGGAACUAUCCCUGAUCUUGUUUUGUAGUUCGAAAUCUUUUAACUUGAUAAUUUAAGAACAGAUGUUUACAUUUUAGUUUAUUGAAAUUCAUUGCUGAGAUGAACUUACCUGAAAAUUUUCGCUCAGUUGUGGGCAUAGUUCUCAACAACUGGACUGCGUUAAAGCUGUCAAUAUCGCAUGGGUAUGGUGGCACUCCUAUGGAAACAAACGCCAAAGUUCAGGAUUUAAUUAACAUGAUCGAUGAAGGAUUUGCCACAAACAGUUUUGAAGAUUGGGGUGACUUGUGUGACCUCUUGAGCGACUAUAUGGACCAAGUCUUCCAUACCCUAAUUGAAGAUAAUUCAGAUGAAGAAUUGGGAACGAGGCUUCAAGAGUUAUAUCACCAGUGGUCAAACGCAAAACAUAAUGAUUUACUCGAUUAUUUAUCCUCAUUACCGAUUCAAGAAUCAAUUGAAAGAGCUCCACCUCAGAUCAAUGCUCAGCCAAAUUACAAUAAUGAUGAUGAUAGUGAAGAUGACGAUGAUGAUGGAGGAGGUGAUAGCAGCAGCAAAGGGGCUGGAAAUAGUCGUACUCUCUAUCAAGGAAACAAUAGUCACUCUUCAGGAAAUGGGGGUGGCUCCAGUGUGGAUGCAGAUGGUUGGCAAGUGUGCCACAACCGACGGCAUCGAUAA
rnacentral:lncRNA from 1 species